rnacentral:rRNA from 1 species
UACGUAGGGGUCGAGCGUUGUCCGGAGUUACUGGGCGUAAAGCGCGCGCAGGCGGUCGUUCAAGUCGCGUGUGAAAGCCCCCGGCUCAACUGGGGAGGGUCACGCGAUACUGAUCGACUGGAAGGCAGGAGAGGGUAGUGGAAUUCCCGGUGUAGUGGUGAAAUGCGUAGAUAUCGGGAGGAACACCGACGGCGUAGGCAGCGCCCUGGACGACACCUGACGCUGAGGCACGAAAGCUGGGGGAGCGAACAGG